GGUAUGCGGUGCACUAUUACUUGUUUGCCGAUUUUUUGAUGAAAGGGCUGCGUUUGAGACCGUUAAAUUUAAAGUCUACAAGUUAGAUGUAAUCAAAGGUGAACUGAUCGAGGAGCCGGGGAGGAGAUUAACACCUUGGGAGAUCCAACAAUUUUUUUGGGUCUUGGUGGUGGAGCAAGUUCCGUCGACUCCUCUAAGUUUACCGGAGUCAAGGCUAAUCACAUAUACUUUACUGAUCAGUUGUAUUACCAAAAAAGGCUCGUCACGGGGGAAGAUGGUGGUGGAAGGGAUAUGGGGGCUUACAAUCUUGAAGACUGAAAAAUUGAAUCUUUUUAUCCUGGUUUGUCAAUAAGCCCGAUUUCUCCACCUGCUUGGGUCACACCUUCACUCUUGUAAUAAUGUGGUGAUUGCACUCACCUCCAGUUGUUGUCUCCUUUUCAGUUUGGUGAUUAAUUAUUAAGUGUUCCAGAAUUGUAUGUUUGAAGUUACCUUGGAUAUAAUAUUAUCCUAUGGAUGGUGUUUGAAUUGCAGCCUUUAAUCAAUUCUAGUAGUGCACCGGGUUGCCCUUUUAAUUUGAUUGCCCUCCCACAUUCGAGCAUGUCGGUUUAGUUGUUUGUCGUGUGCUUUUGUGUAUGUACUUCGAACAUUAUAAUUAAGAGAAAUACAUGGCCUGGUUCAUAAGUUGUAGUAACUUAUAUCAUUAACGAUUUCCUACUCAAUCUCAAUGACAAACAGAUUUUCCAGAAUGCGGCCAUCAGAUCGUCAAUAAUGUCCGCCUUGAUCUCACGGUUACCCAGAUUUUCAGUGCGCAGCAACCUUAUGCUUCCACAAAUGCUCAACAUAAAUUUCUCCGACUCCUAUAUUCACAUCAUUUGCAGUAAGCAGACCUUACCCUGUUUUGGCAAAUCAACGGAGGUUGAUAGAACAUUAAAAUGAUGCUUUCCUCUGGUGUAAUAAAUUUCAUGAUGACAUCUGAAAUUUAUGCAAAGAUAUCUUCUGGUUGUCUAUGUACAUCUGAUUUGCCAUUGUACUCCAAAUGAACUUUAGUCUAGGUAUGAUUACAGCAGGAGAAUAUAUUCUUGUGGUUAGUAGAGUAAUAUUACACAACGAAUGUUAGAAAGAAUAUUCUUGUGGUUGUUGAGCCAUUUUUUCUUAACUCAAAAUCUCUUUUUCUCGUUUUAAUUUUUCUAACAUUUAUUGUUUAAAACACACUAGAACUUUUGUAAUAUAUUUCAUGAUGACAUGUGAAAUUUGUUCAAAUGAACCUCAGUCUCGGAUUACACAAAGAAUAUGUUCUUGUAUAAGCUCUGCUUAGCAUAAGUUAAUGCUUUUCUUUUCUGUCACCUUGCUGGCUCUUUUAUUGCAUCGAUAUGGUUUUUUGUUGCCUCGCCAACUUGCUUUGUAUUUGGCACUUGCUGCCAUCUUCAUGGUUUGUGGGUUCUCCUCUAGGUUGAAGUUCUCUUUAUCUGGUGAUCGCUUCACCGUUGGUGCUGUUACCAUUGCUAUUUUCUGGUGUUAAAAUGGCUGUAUAUCAUAAGCUUACUGCUUUAUACUAGUAAAUAUGGCAGCUAGAAGUGCAUUUAUUUAGCUAUGGUACAUUCAGUGAAAGAUUGAACUGUUAGCCUUCAAAUCUGUGGUAGUUAUUGAAUAAUAUCAUCUGUAUAAUGCAGGCAAUGGCUGCAGAUUUCUUUUAAAUUCUAUGUUUGAAUUUUUCUGUAACAGUAAACAAAUGGAGAAAAAGGGAGAGAAACAAUUUAGGCGGAUAAAACCAAUGGAAUAUUUGAUGAUGGAGAUCCUAGCUGAUGAAGUGAAGGAAGGAAAUAAAUCAACUUUCCGUGCUGUUUGCCAAGCGGCUUAAAGUGAUAGAAGAUUUCAUUACUUUCUGUGCUGUUUGUACCUCUUGGCGAUCUGCUGCUUCCAAGGAUUUCUUUGAUGUGCUUUCGCCCAAAGUUCCGCUGCUUAUGUUGGCUGACAAAGAUGAUGAUUAUCGAGAAUUUUACUCUCAUUCCAAGAAGAAAGUUUCGCGCAUAUUUCUACCAGAAGCGAGAGAGCGAGAGUGUUUUCUAACAGAGGGAUGGCUCUGUACCGUGUCAAAUACGGGGGAAAUGAACUUGUUGCAUCCUUUCUCCCGUACCCAAAUUCAACUUCUUCCAGAAGAAUCCUUAUUGGAUUUAUGUAUUCCUGAUGAAAACCACGAAGAAGAAAAAUUCUGUUACAGAAUUGUUAACGCCGUCUUAUCUGCCAGCCCUUCUCACACAUCAGAUUAUGCACUGGUGGUUUCCCAUCGCGCAUUAGAAAUUUAGAAUGCCUUUUAGCUGUUUGGCGACCUGGUGACCUCAAGUGGACUUGUAUUGUCUAUGGUAAUAAUGUUUUUCAGGUCUCCAAUAUGAUUUACAAUAAUGGCUGAUUUUAUGCCGCGGAUGUUUACUCUUGCCAAGUCUGGGUUUUUGACAUUCUGGGGCUGAGUCCUUCCAUCAUUCUUCAACCCAUUAUAGAGCCACAUCUGCUUCGUUCGCUGCAAGAUGGUAUAUUUCGAGAGAGUGGUUGGUUCUACCUAGUCGAGGUAUGCGGUGCACUAUUACUUGUUUCCCGAUUUUUUGAUAAAAGGGCUGCGUCUGAGACCGUUAAAUUUAAAGUCUACAAGUUAGAUGUAAUCAAAGGUGAACUGAUGGAGGAGGGGAUUAACACCUUGGGAGAUUCAACAAUUUUUUUGGGUCUUGGUGGUGCAGCAAGUUCCGUCGACUCCUCUAAGUUUACUGGAGUCAAGGCUAAUCACAUAUACUUUACUGAUCAGUUGUAUUACCAAAAAAGGCUCGUCACGGGGGAAGGUGGUGGUGGAAGGGAUAUGGGGGCUUACAAUCUUGAAGACGGAAAAAUUGAAUCUUUUUAUCCUGGUUUGUCAAUAAGCCCUAUAUCUCCACCAGCUUGGGUCACACCUUCACUCUUGUAAUAAUGUGGUGAUUGCACUGACCUGCAGUUGUUGUCUCCUUUUCAGUUUGGUGAUUAAUUAUUAAGAGUUUCAGAAUUGUAUGUUUGAAGUUACCUUGGAUAUAAUAUUCUCCUAUGGAUGGUGUUUGAAUUGUAGUAUUUAAUCAAUUCUAGUUGUGCUUUCUCGGAGUGCAAAUAUUAUUAACUCUUCAAUUUGAUUACCCACCCACACUUCAG